GACGAACGCUGGCGGCGUGCUUAACACAUGCAAGUCGAACGGAAAGGCCCUGCUUGCAGGGUACUCGAGUGGCGAACGGGUGAGUAACACGUGGGUGAUCUGCCCUGCACUUCGGGAUAAGCUUGGGAAACUGGGUCUAAUACCGGAUAGGAACCAUCUUUAGUGUGGUGGUUGGAAAGUUUUUUCGGUGUAGGAUGAGCUCGCGGCCUAUCAGCUUGUUGGUGGGGUAAUGGCCUACCAAGGCGGCGACGGGUAGCCGGCCUGAGAGGGUGUACGGCCAAAUUGGGACCGAGAUACGGCCCAGACUCCUACGGGAGGCAGCAGUGGGGAAUAUUGCACAAUGGGCGCAAGCCUGAUGCAGCGACGCCGCGUGGGGGAUGAAGGCCUUCGGGUUGUAAACUCCUUUCGCUAGGGACGAAGCUUUUUGUGACGGUACCUAGAUAAGAAGCACCGGCUAACUACGUG
rnacentral:rRNA from 1 species